CGGUAACGUAGUCGCCCAAAGCUCGCGCCUUCCGCAUUUCCUUGUCUCCUGGGCAGGGGGCAGAUCCUCGCAUCCCGUGGUUCUGAUGGUGAUCGACUGAUCGUCCUUCUCGUGGCAGGAAUGGUGCGAGAAAUAGAUGGAGUUCGUGUUCGAGCACAGGAAGCCGGAGAGGACCGAUGCCAUGAAGGCAGGUUCGGAUCGCCGAGGAUGAGGUUGUUCGAAGAGUGGAUGUCACCAUUAGAUCUGCGGAAGAAUUAUGGGCGGUAAGAUUCAUGAACUUCAUCGUGGGAACAAACCAGUUAUUGUUUGAGGACAUCACACGGGAAAUUCCAGUGUUUGGAGUUGUUGAAGGUUCAUGGGUGAUA